CGGGAUAUAGCUUAGCUUGGUAGAGCGCUUGCUUUGGGAGCAAGAGGUCACAGGUUCGAAUCCUGUUAUCCCGACCA
rnacentral:tRNA from 3 species